GUUAAUGUCCUGGAUAGGGAAAAGCUGUGAAAAGGAGAUGUUAGACAGAGAGCACAGCUCCACAUUACUUCUCAUUCCAGCUAGAAUUUAAAUAGCCAUGGUUAAGUGCAUACAGCUUGGCAACAGCUUACAUAACUAAAUUCAUUUCCUCUUUGGAGGUCCCCAGUGAGCCAUGAACACUUGUGUGGGGCUUCUCCCCUUUCACAAUCGUGCCUUUCACACCUGCCCUUGUGUACUCAUACAUAAAUGCAGCAGCCACUGUGUGCAGUGCCGUCCAAGUAGAAAACAAAAGGCGACACGUGCUGUGUGGUGAAUUUAAAAUGGGGAGCGGUACGGAUGUCUAGACGUGGUUAAAAGGGAACACAAAAUGUGUCAAGUUCCGGAAAAAUGAAAGAACAAAAAAACCUCCUCCUAGUACUCCCAGAGCGCCAGCCUUAUGGGCCUGGGUACAGCUCUGUUAACCCAGAAAAGUCUCACAGCUAAUACGCUUGUAUUUACAUUUAUUAGAUAAAAGCUAAAUAUAACAUCUAGAGGAGAGGGAAAUAUGACCAAAUAUUUUCCCUCUUAAUCAUGCUGCGCAGGAGGAAGGGUUCACGAAAAACGGUGAAGAAAUGUAAUAACAAGGUCACAUAAGAGUAAUUGAUGCAGUAUAAAUAUUGUACAGUUCACAUGGAGCGAUGCAAAUCAACCUGUAGGAAAACAAUAAGGUUCAGUGUUCUGUAGUCAAAUGCCAGACAGAGACUCAUGCAGCAGGUCACUGUCGUACGGAAGAGGAUCAGGGCCACAUGUGAAAAAUUUAGGCUAUUUGAAUUCUAAUAUUCUAAAUUUAGAAUUUUGAGAAAAAAAGUCAGAAUUCUGAGUUGUUUUUUUUGGUUGUUUUUUUAAAGUCAGAAUUCCGACUUUAAACUCAGAAUUCAAAAACAUUUUUCACAUGUGGCCCUAAUCCUCUACCAUACUGUCUCGUAUUGAGGAUUUGCAUGUUGAAGAUAACUAAAAUAGAUCUUGAAACCAGUUAUCUCAUUAGCCACAGGUGAACUGAUGUCAUCAUACUGUAGUAGUGCUGCAUUGGAUGUCACACCUGCCAUGAACACAAGAUCUAAUCUAAUAAAGCUAAUUAUACUGUAAUGUGAUAAUUAGCUAGCUUUAUAGGCUCUGUUAGAAGGAAUUUGUUACCUUUGGACUGAACUACGCUAGCUGUUUCCCUUCUGUUUCAAGUCUUAGUGCUAAGCUAAGCUAACUGGCUGUAGGCUAUAGCUUCAUAUGAGGUAUAUUACAGAUAUGA